rnacentral:rRNA from 1 species
AGAGCUUGCUUUAAAGAAGUUAGCGGCGGACGGGUGAGUAACACGUGGGCAACCUGCCUGUAAGACUGGGAUAACUUCGGGAAACCGGAGCUAAUACCGGAUAAUAUAUAGUACCUCCUGGUACUAUAUUGAAAGUUGGUNNCGGCUAACACUUACAGAUGGGCCCGCGGCGCAUUAGCUAGUUGGUGAGGUAACGGCUCACCAAGGCAACGAUGCGUAGCCGACCUGAGAGGGUGAUCGGCCACACUGGGACUGAGACACGGCCCAGACUCCUACGGGAGGCAGCAGUAGGGAAUCUUCCACAAUGGACGAAAGUCUGAUGGAGCAACGCCGCGUGAGCGAUGAAGGCCUUCGGGUCGUAAAGCUCUGUUGUUAGGGAAGAACAAGUGCGAGAGUAACUGCUCGCACCUUGACGGUACCUAACCAGAAAGCCACGGCUAACUACGUGCCAGCAGCCGCGGUAAUACGUANGUGGCAAGCGUUGUCCGGAAUUAUUGGGCGUAAAGCGCGCGCAGGCGGUUUCUUAAGUCUGAUGUGAAAGCCCACGGCUCAACCGNGGNGGGUCAUUGGNAACUGGGAGAC